AAUUAGGGUGUGGUGACGAGAAUGCUUAAAGGUGUGUACGUGUGGACUUAAAUCAGGGCAGUUGACUAGAAGACGAGGUUGUAGCUGGACGUGUGAGAGGUCUUGAACAGGUACCCUUAUGUGUGUUGUGGAAGUUGCUACCAGAGCCUUGAUUUUGUAUUCGGCGCAAGCAGUCCUUUUCCUCAGGCGACACCGGUACGAGAGGUAUCCUCCAUGUAGCCCAGAACCUCGAUUUUCCUGCCAUUGGCACAAUUUUGUCAACAUAACUCCGUAAGAGCGGACAAGAACGUUCUUCACUACUAACUAGUAGCAAGCAUCGAAACGUCGAAUUAGCAUCCAAGCAUCGAAUCGUCGAAUUAGCAUCCAAGCAUCGAAUCGUCGAAUUAGCAUCCAAGCAUCGAAUCGUCGACUUAGCAUCCAAGCAUCGGAUCGUCGGAUUAGCAUCCGAGAAUCGCCGAGUCAGUAUAUCCGGGAUCUUGAAGCACGUGACCGAUUGCCGUAACAAGCGAUUACGGGACAUAAACCUUCAAGCAUCGUCUUCAAGUCUUCAAGUCUUCAAGCAUCGAAUCGUCGUAGGAACUAUGUCGGUAUUUGACCUUCUGAUAUAGCAAAUACUAAGCAAAAGGCUUUCGCCUUAUUUCGGACAAUAAAUUGUCUUAAUUUCGGACACUUUAAAACUGGGAAGUUAACUUGUACGAAUUACACUCGUGGGUAUCGGAGUAAUUAAAUGACCGUUCGUAUAUGUAAUAUUUGUGUAACAGCAGAUUUCUAUGAAUUUAGAUGUUGAUGUAGUUGUCAAUAAACAGUCUGUAGAACUCA
rnacentral:lncRNA from 1 species